GCUUUUCUUUUCUUUGGGUUUAAAGCCUUUGCCCUAAGCUGCAAAGCUGCUCUUUGCUUCCUGCAAGCAAAGAAGCCUGCAAUUGCUGAUGGAAAAGACUAUCCUGUUGGCUGGUUGACACGGGGAUUUGGUCAAAUGUAGUAGCUCUGCACUGCAUGAUGAUGUGUCUGUGACCUGCCUCUUAAAGCCGAGAGUAAAUAUUAGGCCCCUGGCCAUUUCCCAUUUGCAGUGGCUCACGCAGCACUCUUCCUCCAGAAUGGCCUGUCACCACUGCUGCGUGGUCGUGAUGCUUGCGUUCUCUUACAGAAGGAGCUGGACCAAAUGUGGCAUGGCUGGUUCACCGUGAAUGCUCCCUUCUCUCUCCUGUACCACAUCAUGACAGUUGACUACCACAGGCAGUCAGAAUGUUGGAGGGGGAGCUCACCUAGGCUUGUGCCCUGGCUGAUCUUUUGCCAGUGCUUUCCUUACCCAAGAUUUGUGAAUCUGAGCCCAAAUCCCACAGACAAGGAGGCAACAGAACCACUGAGUCCGUCUGCAAGAUAAAUAACUGCGUGUACCCCUGGGGGCUGGGGAAGUCUAUUUUGGGCUCCACAGUCUGCUUCCUUUGGUAGAUGGCCUGCUACACAGCAGUCAUCACUGUGGCAGCUGUGGCGAACCUGGCUGGCAUAGCGCUGACCAUCACCGUUCAGAGGGACUGGAUUGUGAGCAUCACGGGGGACAAGAGAGGCCAGCUGGCUGGUGAGCAGUGGUGCCAGGGGCCUACUGGGCCUCUGAUUAGUUGAGAAGUGGAGAGUGGAUGUGAAUGGGCCAUUCAGAGCUCUGGGGGAAGUAUGUCACAUCCUGUAAGGAAUGGUAUUUGCAGCCAACCAGGUUUGGGUUUGAAUUCAAUUCAGCUAAGCGUCUUAUCAGCUGUACGCCCUGGGGUGAGAUAACUAAUCUGUCAGGACUUGACGUUCCUUAACUGUGGAAUGGGAGAAACACACACACAGCUUAGUGCGGGAAAGAAUCCUGUGUGAUACAGGAUUUGUAAGGUGCUGAACAGUGUAUCUGCACACAGAAGUGCUUAAGAAACAGUUGCGCUUGCCACCGUGGGACGCCUACAUAGGCUGC
rnacentral:lncRNA from 1 species